rnacentral:rRNA from 1 species
AACGAACGCUGGCGGCAUGCCUAACACAUGCAAGUCGAACGAGACCUUCGGGUCUAGUGGCGCACGGGUGCGUAACGCGUGGGAACCUGCCCUUAGGUUCGGAAUAACUCCCCGAAAGGGGUGCUAAUACCGGAUAAUGUCUUCGGACCAAAGAUUUAUCGCCUUUGGAUGGGCCCGCGUUGGAUUAGCUAGUUGGUAGGGUAAAAGCCUACCAAGGCGACGAUCCAUAGCUGGUCUGAGAGGAUGAUCAGCCACACUGGGACUGAGACACGGCCCAGACUCCUACGGGAGGCAGCAGUGGGGAAUAUUGGACAAUGAGCGAAAGCCUGAUCCAGCAAUGCCGCGUGAGUGAUGAAGGCCUUAGGGUUGUAAAGCUCUUUUACCCGGGAUGAUAAUGACAGUACCGGGAGAAUAAGCUCCGGCUAACUCCGU